AGAUCCUUUCAAACAUGUGUGUAUAGGGGAGAGAGAGUGUACAAGGAAAGUCUUCUGCUAGGCUACCAAACCAGUCUUUUACAUCAAUAUUUGAAUGGAAGAGUGGAUUGUGAGGUUGUUCUAACACCCUGACUUUGCCAGGUUUCUGGGGUACAAAUGAAAAGGGAAAGAGAGAUAAAAUGAUCGGUGGUGGGGCACGAAAGAAGAGUCACACAGAGCUAAUUUCAAAAUAGUAAAAUUGUCCAGCAGGCAAAAAGCAAAUGUACAGCACACAUCUGGCUGAAUAAUUUACAAAGUAGUAAAACAUCAGAAGAAGCUGAGAAAUAAUCUGACACCAUGCAAGUGACACUCAUUGCAUGUAGUCUGAAAUAGACACCAGAGUGUGUCAUGUUGUAAGAAUACAUAGAAAUGUAUAUGAAUAUUUACCUGUCCCUAAUUGCCUAUUCAUAUAAUUUUAAAUGCACAAGAUUUUUCUGGCAAUAUUUUUUCAUUACAUCCAUAGACACUAAAAGCCUUUUUAAAAAUCUACAUCAUUCAACAAAGGAUGCUAAGAGUAAUUGUGUAGUGAGGUAAAGCUUUCUUCCACCUAUUUGGUUUACUUAUGUUUAGCUAUCCUAAAUUAGGCUAAUUUUAUAAUAGGGUUGCUGUCUGUUGAAUUAUGUGUUGGUUUCCUAGGCUAAAUAACAUAUGUUUCAUUACUAAAAUAAUUCGCAACGGCAAAGGGCAAAGUUAAACAGUGAAAAAUAGACUGUAUAGAAAUAGACUCAUAGAAGCAAGUAAUGUGAGCUAACAGAUUAUUCUCUCUCUACUUGCUUUGAGUCUGAUGUGCUCCCUGAAAUGCAAAUUCAGCAAUCUGAGCAGCUGUUCACCAGUUACAACAAAGAAUACCCAGGAUUUAGAAAAAUGGAGUCCUGUUUCCCUAUUACACUAUAAAAUCAGGCUUUUUUGCCAAGUUGUGAAUGAUGUGAUCUGGUAGAUUCUUGUCCACUAAAACCAAGGCACACUUUCACUAAUUUUUUUAACAAAUCAGUGACUGUUUGAAAAGCAGCAUCCUCUCACGGAGGACUAGGUAUAUAUCUCUGCAUCAGACCAAACAUCUUGAUCUAUAAGAAACAAAGAAAAAAAUAUAAAAUAAUAGAUCUAAAAUAUACGUAUAAAAAUACAUAAAAUGUUAUAAAUAUUUUAACUGUCAUUUGUUUUGCUUUCAUUACACACUACACCCUACAAAUAGCUUUUGAACUGCCUUAUAAAUUGAAGAUCUUUAUAAUUUAAUUUAUAUUUAUCUAUGCUCUAUAAGCCACAUUGUAAUUGUAGCUAGUAUUGUGAGCCUGUAUUAUUUGUAAGUCUCUGGAUGUGGUUGUAUUUUACAAGAUGCAACUGUUGAACUGCUUUUAGCUGGUUCAGUAAUGGUCACAAUUUUUUUGCAGUUGACUGUAAUUCCUGAGAUGUAGUGGGAUUGCAAUUUAAAAACAACAACAAAAAAACAGGUAACCAUUGACAAAUUACAUUCCUAAUUUAUGCAAUUUUGUAGUCUGUUGAUGACUCUCUAACAGAUCAGGAAAAACCUAAGAGCAUAAAUAAGGAAGUAGUUUAGAACCUGACAUAAAAAAAAGAAAAAAAAGUUGCUUCACCCUGGUGUUAUGCUACUGAAUUUUAGUGCAAUUACACAAAGAAAAUUAAGGCAAAACUUAAUGAAGAAGAACCAGGUGUACUGCCCUGGUUUUAAAAGAAAUGGGACUAUAGUAGAAGAAAUAGAGCACUCUGGGCAAGAAUAAGGUCAGGGUGACCACAGGAGAUGCUCUGCAUCCCUUUUGUCAAUAUGCGUCUGGGUUUCCAGCUACAAUUUCAGGUUCAUAUUUCAUGGCUGAACACCUCAAAACUUCAACAUACCAAAUCUUGCUGCUGUGGUACAGCUGCACUAAUGGUAUAAGAAUGGUGGGCACUGUACUUCCUCUGUGAAUACAUUGGUUAUCUUGUCCAAGCCCUACUCCAAUGGGGCCACCCAGAGCAGGAUGCCCAGGACCAUGUUCAGAUCACUUUGGAAUAUCUCUAAGGAUGAAGAAUGAGAAUGAACCUGGUAUCUGAUGUCUUCUAUUUUCCUUCUAUAUGUGAUGGUGAAGCCUUAGCACAUACCUGGAAUUGGGAAUAGAUUAUUCCACUUGGGGUUAGGAGGAAGACCUGGCUAGGAAAAUUGAAAUAGUAAAAUCUAAACUACCUUAAAAUCUAGAGACCUACAAAAACCAGCACAACAACAACAAACAAAAAAACCCCAACCAACAAACAGAGACAAAAAGAGAGGAGACAAAAUGAAAUAUUUUCAUCUCUUUCCCAGACAUUAGAAGAGUCAAAUUUCAAGAUUUAGAUCUAUUCAUUUUUUUAUAUUUAUUUGGCCUUAACAAAUAUAAUACUAAACAUGCCAGAAAUAUCUCACAGGUGACUUGUGUAUUUACAAUGGAGAAGUAAAAUCAUUCCCUGCAACCACCUUAAUAUUUUUGAUGGGUGUUAGCCAUUAGAAAACUUUUAAACUGAGUCAUGGGUUUCUCUAGGAACAGAAAAUAUUAAAGAGGUAGGGAGAUGUGGUCAUCUGUGGCUGAUGUACUUGGACUUCUUCAUGAAUGACUGGUAUUGACUCCAAGGCACUCUUUUAAAAUUGUGUUGCUGUUUUAAAAGUUAUUGGGUUUGCAUCUGUUUCAGCAGCUUUACUAACAUUUUGCACUAAACAAUUUGCAAUCAUAAGUUUUUAAGGGAACUAGAAACUAAGCUGUGUUUUGGUUUGGGUUUUUUGGGGGCUUUUUUUUAACUGAAUGUGAUUUUCUAAACUGUUAUCCAUAUUGCAGUAAUUAUUUUAAAAGCUCCCUGAUAUCUGUUUCUCAUUAUGACAAAGUCAAUGAGUGGUGCAUUAAAAAAAUAAAAAGAAGCAACUGUAACAAAUAAGAGUCACUGUUCAAAGAUGUCUGUGAAACUUUGCACUCUGGCUGCCUUUUGCACCGAUCAGACUUUGAAAUCGCUACUUUCCAGAUCACAUUUUCCCAGCUAAGUCCCUGUGAAUAGGCUGAGCAAAAGGUAGUAGCCAGUUUUACCAGGGAGGGUGCAAUGAGGAAAACCAAGGUUAAACUGAAACGAGCUAGAAAACCCCUACAAAUCUUACAUUUUAUAUUUUAACAGACAAAAUGGCCUUGCACAAAAUGAAGACUUAUAAUGGAAAUAGACCCACUACCUCUGAUAUUUUGGUGUGAAAAAAUACAACUCUAAAUCUUGCAUACAGGCCCAGUUAGUAGAUUUUGUGUUUCCCACUGAGUUUUCAGUAGUCACUGAAGAGAAGCAGUAGCUGGAGAGAAGGCAGUUGGAGGGAAGGCCAAGGAAGGAAAACUGUGCACACAGGUGUCUGGGUGAGGACAGAGCUCACAUCGAGACUUGGAACUGAGAAUUGCUCCAAGGCCUGUGACUGUGAGCCUGUGCCUCGUUCAGUUCCUGCUGGAUCUGGGACUUAGCCUGCAAUUUCUGGCUCUUGCAGUACUCUUAUGUUCCUUUUCUAAGCAGUUCUGUGGCUUCCAUCAAAACCAGUGGGUGAACUGCCUUUCCCCUGCUUGUUUCUUGGCUGCAGCAAUUUCCUCUGUGCUUCUGUUUGUUAGACUCUUUAUAGUGACUGUAAUUUUUCCCCUUCAUGCUGACUUAAAUAGUAAAAAUCUCAAAUGAUCGUCUGUUCUCAAUUUUCUUCAGCCAUUUAACUCUUUCUACCCUUGAUAUUGCUUUGCUGCAUCUUUCUUAACAGCUUCUUAGCCCAAAUCCCUGUUCCAGCAGUGCCUGGGCUUAGGACAACAUCCAAGUUUAUGCUGAGAGCUAAAAGCCACAUGGAACUUCCCAUAGUUCACUGAGUCUGACAGCAUAUCAAAAGAAGACACUCAAAGAAAUACACUUGAGUAGUCUUUUGCCACAGAACAUUGGACCAAGUUCAAAGAUACUUCUUCAAAUAAAUAUGGUGUUUUAGUUCAGCCCUUAAUGGGAAUUGAUGGACAUCUGCAGAGAACAUCUUUCUUUGCUGAGGUGGAACCAGCCCAAAAAGGGUGACAGCAUUUUGAUGAAAAGCUGAGAUGCUGUGGUAAAGCAGAAGUUCCUAAGAAAAAGAAUUUCAGGUCUCGAAGUGAUGUAUGGAGUUUAUGUCUCCAGUGAGGGGCCAGGUUCAGAUUUCUCUGAAGGGUUGACUUCAGUGGUUUUCCUGGUUUUACCUGUGAUAAUUUUUUUCUUGGUGGCUGGUUGGAAGAACAAAACAUGGCUGCCCAUUUCUAAGCUCACCACAUGCAGGCAUGAAGCUUCUACAGAUCUCAUGAGGAAUGGGGAAAAAAAUUUCUUUGGUGCCGUGAGAAUAAGACAAACUGACUACUGGUGCAGUGGUACUUGACUGGGUCUCAGAGGGCCUAAUGUCUGAGCAGACUCAUAGAGCUGCAAAAUCUCUGUUGCCUUGUUUCCCCACUACCACCUUUAGGAAACACAGUUGUAUAUAUAAACCUCUACUAGCAAGAAAGAAAGGAACAUGGAUGGAAUUUUCCUCCUGAAUCUAAAUGGCAUGUGCAUGGAAGCAUGAGAUUUGCUUAAGCUGGUAUAGUUUUUAACUUAUCAGCUCACUGUAACAGAUUUCUCAUACUGUAUUAAGAACACAAAAAUCCUUGAAAGAUAUAGUCUAUUUAUGUAUUAUUCACUUUGCCUUCUUCCUUCGCAUUGCAGCCUCUGGGAAUCCUAGAGUUGAUUUCUUCUUGCAAUGAUGAGGAGAGGCACUGCGUAGGGAGAUAAACACACCUGAACCGGUGUGCAGAGUCCAGAACUGGCCAUGCCUGAUGAGAGUGCCUGGAGAAACACUGUCUGUCUGCUCCAGUGGAAACACCUGAGCACAACGAGGUGGCCAAGGGUGGAAAGGGCAUUGGUCAUCUCUGCAGACAGUACUGGGGUAAAUCUCAAGCACAGUGUACAGAGGCUUUUAUUAUUAAGCAGUAAAGCACUUUGAUAAUACAGAGAUAUACAGAUAAUACAAAGAAGUGAAUUAUGCUAAUUUGAAUAUUCUUUCCGUGCUCAAUUGACGAUCUUUAACAUUGUGUUCCAGUUCACUAAUAAAUGCUGUUUCUGCAUUUCUGAAGACCA